rnacentral:rRNA from 1 species
UACGAAGGGGGCGAGCGUUGUUCGGAUUUACUGGGCGUAAAGGGCGCGCAGGCGGCCAUCUUUGUCAGACGUGAAAUCCCCCGGCUUAACCAGGGAACUGCGUCUGAUACUGGAUGGCUUGAGUUUGGGAGAGGGAUGCGGAAUUCCAGGUGUAGCGGUGAAAUGCGUAGAUAUCUGGAGGAACACCGGUGGCGAAGGCGACAUCCUGGACCAACACUGACGCUGAGUGAGCGAAAGCCAGGGGAGCAAACGGG